rnacentral:tRNA from 1 species
AAUGAAGUGCCUGGCAAAAAAGGAGUAUCUUGAUAGGAUACAUCACGUGAUUUUUCACCUUUAUUA